rnacentral:rRNA from 1 species
GAUGAACGCUGGCGGCGUGCCUAAUACAUGCAAGUCGAGCGAACAGACGAGGAGGUUGCUCCUCUGACGUUAGCGGCGGACGGGUGGGUAACACGUGGAUAACCUACCUAUAAGACUGGGAUAAAUUAGGGAAACCGGAGCUAAUACCGGAUAAUAUAUUGAACCGCAUGGUUCAAUAGUGAAAGACGGUUUUGCUGUCACUUAUAGAUGGAUCCGCGCCGCAUUAGCUAGUUGGUAAGGUAACGGCUUACCAAGGCAACGAUGCGUAGCCGACCUGAGAGGGUGAUCGGCCACACUGGAACUGAGACACGGUCCAGACUCCUACGGGAGGCAGCAGUAGGGAAUCUUCCGCAAUGGGCGAAAGCUUGACGGAGCAACGCCGCGUGAGUGAUGAAGGUCUUCGGAUCGUAAAACUCUGUUAUUAGGGAAGAACAAAUGUGUAAGUAACUAUGCACGUCUUGACGGUACCUAAUCAGAAAGCCACGGCUAACUACGUG